AUCUUUGCGCAGUGGCAGUAUCGUAGCCUAUGAGGUUUAUCCGAGGCGCGAUUAUUGCUAAUUGAAAACUUUACCCAAUCCCCCGCCGUGACGACUUGAAAUAUAGUCGGCACUGGCAAUUUUUGACGGUCUUUACGGAGA
ensembl:snRNA U4 U4 spliceosomal RNA